rnacentral:lncRNA from 1 species
AUCUAAUGGACCUGUAACCUGAAAUUCAUUAUGUUGUGCCGUUCUGUAUUCCGGGGAUUCAUUAAGACUAUUCAAAGCAUCCACAUACCUUCUCUCAUUAUCCCUCUCAUCCCCAUCACAGAAAUGCAAUGAUCCAUCUUGAUCAGGGUGAGAAAACAUAAAGAUCCUGAGCCUAGUAAAUCCGUCACCAGAACUCAACUUAGCAGAAAUGCAAGGAUCCAUCUUGAUCAGGGUGAGAAAACAUAAAGAUCCUGAGCCUAGUAAAUCCGUCACCAGAACCCAACUUAUCAUAUUCCUCCAUCAUAUUGACCACAUCAUCAUCAUUCACUACCGAGACAAGAG